UCGCUUCCGGAGGUUGAUUCGUUGGAUGAGACUGUUGAUAGCUGGGAACCGGUCUUAGGAGAGCAAAAAAUUAAGGACAACACCAAAGCAAUUAUAUUCACAUUGCGGCAAAGCGUGGAAAUAAAAUGAAAAUAAAGCUGCUUUUUCGGGUCCAAGGAGAGAGCUAUGAAAUACGUGUCCAUUGAGACCAAUGAGAGAAAAUAAACAGUUCUUGCUUCUGUGUUCUACACAGUCUUGCCUGCAGACUGCCCAUCACAAAAAAGGCACAUAUAGAAACAAACAACCACUGAAGGAAAGCAAGGAGGGUCUGCCACCUAUCCACAACAGAACUAGCAUUAUCCAAAUACACACAGAUCAACCAACAGUGGUGGAAACAGAUGGCUCCGUCUUUAAAGCUUGGUGGAGAUGAAAAGAAAA